AUAGACUAAAAAUUGACUGAUUCUGGGGAAUAAUAUUGUCAUCCAACCCAUACAACAAAUGUCUUUAUAGUUUAACUCAUUAGAACAAUUAGCCUUGAAAAAAAACUGAUAUACCAUAAAAUGUUGAAAUUAUAUUUUUAUUGCAGAUGAUAGUGAAAGAACUCAUUACCUGUGGAUUCUGAUCAUUGCUUCUUAGAUGUGCUCACUACAGAGGAAAGUUAGAAUUGUAUUAACACAAAAUUUCAUAAGCAAUAUAAUACUCAAAAUAUGUGAGAGUUCUAGAUCAAAGCACAUCUCACUUUUAGAUAUAAAAGCACUUUGUAUUUCAGCGAUGGUCAAGAAAUUUCUACAACCUUCUCUGGUCCAGCACACUUUACCCAUUCUGGCCUGGCCCAAAAUAAAGGGUAACUUGCGUUUCUUCUUUGGAGAAAUAUCUCCUCGCUUGCUACUAAGACCUACAGGAGACUGAACCCAUGACUAUGGCACAAGUGAACUUCACACUAUGAAAUAAAAAGACCUGGGCACAUCGCA
rnacentral:lncRNA from 1 species